AUGGCGACGGCGACGGCGACGGCGACGGGUUUCUCUGGCGACGGCGACGCCGCGACGGCGACGGGUUGAGGGCUGCGUAGACGGCGCGGCGAGGAGGGGCAUGUGCUGUGGAGACGGCGCGGCGAGGUGGGGCAGUGGUGGUUGUGCGGCGAGGCGGGGCAGGUGCUGCAGAGACGGGGCGCAGCGAGGCGGGGUAGUGGCGUCGCGGGGGAGGAUGGAGGAUGCCGGAGCAGAGGACGACAGCUCCCGCCAUCGCUGCUGUCCGUGCACGCCCCCGUGCUCGCCUCCGUCUGCGCCCGCGCCGGAGCGCUGCUGUCUGCGCGCGUCCGCGUACUCGCCUCCGUCCGCACCCUUCAGCUCGCCUCUGCCAGCCGCGCCCUUCAGCUCGCCUCCGCCCGCGUCCUGCCGCGUCCCAACCGCGUUGGGAGACCGCCUCUGCCUGCCGCGCUUGCCUUUGCUCAUGCCCUGCAGCUGGCCUCCACCCUCGUCCUGCCGCGGUGAGCGCGAUCCUGCACCUGUGGCCGCGAGCAGGCAAAGCUGUGAGCUGUACGCUUCUGAAUCUCUGACGGACUUUUGCUCCCUUGUUUGAUUUGAAUCUCUGACGGAAAUCCUGCUCCCGUGUCCUGCUCAAACUCAUGCUCCCGUGUCCUUCUCAAACAAAGAAACCGCCCCGACCCGGAUUGGAGUUCACAGCUAUAAGUUGAAUUGUUCUUGGCCAGAAUCGUAAACCAGGCUAGCGCCACCAGUGAGCAGUGCACCGUCGCUUGGGUCGUAACACCAUGAUCACCAUCAUGUCGCCUUUGAGUACGUCGGAGGAACAGGCACCGAGUUCGCCUUUGAGUACGCCGGAGGAACCGGCACCAUGUUCGCCGGAAUUCUUGGUCCAGAGAAGCAUUGUGAGUCCAACGGUGGCUACAACAGAGGUGGCAAAGGCGUCCAAUCCAACUCAGGUGGAGGCCAAGGAGGUUCGGCUCUCGGACCUUGCACCAAUGAUGCUGGAUGAUACCGACGUGCAGACUAUGUUGUCGGUCGGGUGUCCUCUACUACCGAAGUUCCCCCACCAUCUGCUGGUGCUUGAGAGCAGAGACGGCAUACUUUCAUCAGCAGCGGCCAAACCCCCAGCGCCGCUGGUGCUGUACACCCCUGUACCCCUCGAUAUCUAGUGCCUCGCGUCUGCCCAACAUGAACACCUCCUCAAUAUGUACAUCUCUGAAUUUUGCCAUUGCUAGAGAAAGUAGAGCAUUGUUUUGCUGUAGCUAUAAUUUGAGUUUAGAAGAUAUACUCCUCUCUUUUUGACGUCAAUUUUUCAGUUGACACUUGUGCAGAAGCCCAAUGGGAUGAAAUUACGGACCACAGAGAGGUGUAAUUAUUAAUUAAUUUCUUGCUUUAAAAGAUAUGCAACUAGCAGAGUUUCUUAUUAUUAUCAAUUGGAUUAUGACGAAGUUAAGAACUUAUGUGGACAGUCUGGCACAUUUCGGUGGCAAGAUUUUUGUACAGUUACAGUGGCAGAUUUCAGAAAUUUGUAGAGCACAUGAUUAACAAGAAGAAGAUAUUCUGUCAAGCCAUGCAUAUCAACAAUCAGUCAAGCAAAGAAAUAUUCAUGGGAGAUAUACAGGGAUCCACAAGAAUGUGCACCGUAUGGCACUACCCUUUUGUCAUCGAGCCACUAUCACAUUUUGGUCAGCAAUCAGUUCAAGCAAUUCUCAGCGCAAUUAGUCAGAAGUUGGAAUUUACAUCUGAACGAACAAUACAUCAAGCAACAGAAGAAAUAGUGGUCAUCUCUUUUUCUUUGCACCAAGAUGCCAUAUAAGCAUUCAGACUUCGGAAUCGCACAAGCAGUUUAUAUAUAAAUGAUGUGCCAUAUCGUUUUAACACGGACACUUCAAAAGAAUAUCUGCCAAGAGUGGUCGUUGAUCACUAUGAUUAUAGUAGUCCUAAAGAGUUUGCCUCUGCGUUUCUGUUCACAUGUAGUUGAUAUUUUAGCCUUUUAGAAGUAUAUGGCGUUGCUUAAAUUAUGUUUCUUUUGGCAACAACAUAUGAAAUGGAGAAAUUUUUAGGUUUAGGAUAAAAUUGUUCUUGAUUUUGAGAAGAUUGUUAUAGAUCCAUGAGAAAAAUGUCCCAAGUUUAGGAAGUUAA